GGCUCAGGAUGAACGCUAGCGGCAGGCUUAAUACAUGCAAGUCGUGGGGCAGCAUGGUGUAGCAAUACACUGAUGGCGACCGGCAAACGGGUGCGGAACACGUACAGAACCUUCCUUCAAGUGGUGAAUAGCCCAGAGAAAUUUGGAUUAAUACACCGUAACAUAUGAAAGUGGCAUCACUUUUAUAUUAUAGCUCCGGCGCUUGAAGAUGGCUGUGCGGCUGAUUAGGUAGUUGGCGGGGUAACGGCCCACCAAGCCUGCGAUCAGUAACUGGUGUGAGAGCACGACCAGUCACACGGGCACUGAGACACGGGCCCGACUCCUACGGGAGGCAGCAGUAAGGAAUAUUGGUCAAUGGACGCAAGUCUGAACCAGCCAUGCCGCGUGAAGGAUGAAGGUCCUCUGGAUUGUAAACUUCUUUUAUCUGGGACGAAAAAAGGGCUUUCUAGCUCGACUGACGGUACCAGAGGAAUAAGCACCGGCUAACUCCGUGCCAGCAGCCGCGGUAAUACGGAGGGUGCAAGCGUUAUCCGGAUUCACUGGGUUUAAAGGGAGCGUAGGCGGGCAGGUAAGUCAGUGGUGAAAUCUCCGGGCUUAACCCGGAAACUGCCAUUGAUACUAUCUGUCUUGAAUAUCCUGGAGGUAAGCGGAAUAUGUCAUGUAGCGGUGAAAUGCUUAGAUAUGACAUAGAACACCCAUUGCGAAGGCAGCUUACUACGGGAUGAUUGACGCUGAGGCUCGAAAGCGUGGGGAUCAAACAGGAUUAGAUACCCUGGUAGUCCACGCCCUAAACGAUGGAUACUCGACAUCAGCGAUACACUGUUGGUGUCUGAGCGAAAGCAUUAAGUAUCCCACCUGGGAAGUACGACCCGCAGGGUGAAACUC
rnacentral:rRNA from 1 species